GCCCUACGGGGCGCAGCAGUGGGGAAUAUUGGGCAAUGGGCGCAAGCCUGACCCAGCAACGCCGCGUGAAGGAAGAAGGCUUUCGGGUUGUAAACUUCUUUUGUCAGGGACGAAGCAAGUGACGGUACCUGACGAAUAAGCCACGGCUAACUACGUGCCAGCAGCCGCGGUAAUACGUAGGUGGCAAGCGUUAUCCGGAUUUACUGGGUGUAAAGGGCGUGUAGGCGGGACUGCAAGUCAGAUGUGAAAACUACGGGCUUAACUUGUAGACUGCAGUUGCAACUGGUUUUCUUGAGUGAAGUAGA
rnacentral:rRNA from 1 species